rnacentral:tRNA from 1 species
AUCGUCGUGGUGUAAUGGUCAGCACACUCGACGCGUAUUCGAGACGUCCGAGGUUCGAGUCCCGGCGAGGGUA